UUCCGAUUCCCUUUCAGUCAUUCGGAUAACAGUCUCCAACGGAACAAGUACUCGUCUCAGUGAUUCGGGGGGUGCCCGUGGGGCCCCCCCUGAGUUCCUGCCCACAUGGAUCUAAAGCGUACCGGACAGCCUGGUCCAUUGGUGAGUUUGUGGAUAGGAUUCUGGCCUUCUAGCUGGUCGAGUAUGGCACAGAGCACCUUGUCUGGAACCGUCCAGGGAAUUUCGAAGGAGAUGCGGAAGUGAAGCGAGGGAGUGUGGAGAACAAGCUCCGCAGAUGGCGCCCAUCAUCCAGGCCACUGUUGAGUCCUCCUCACCCACUACCAUCAGAUUCGAAGGGAACCCCCAUAGCUGCGCAGUCCGAGAAAAAGGUCUACCACUUCGCAAUUCUCAAAUUACGCGAACGGAUGAUCUGGUAUUGCUCGCAUGUCCAGACAGUGUCCUCGGCAGUCAGAUCGCUUCUGCUACUUCGAAGCCAUACCGCCGGUCUUCAAGCAAGGUCGCAGCAUAGGGUGGGUGCGUAUCGAGUGCCCGCUUCUUCGCAUAACUACAGUCCGAGUGAAAAUGUGUACGGGUUUUUGGAUGUGGAUGUGCAUUGAAGUCUAGCAUUGGAAUAUGCAUGCGCUAUAGAUACAAGAUUUACGAGAAGUGAUGUAAACCGCUUGGCAAUAACGUCCCUGCCAUCAUAUUGUAUGCCUGAGAAGGGAAGAUGAUCUCCAACCACUUUACCAUACAAUUGCAAGACGCCACGAAUUUACAUUUUUUAAGAAGGAUAUGGAUUGUAUCCCCGUUUGCUCCAAUCUGUCUAGGGGUCUGUUUAAUAUACACAUGUAUUCAGCAUUAACACUUA
rnacentral:sRNA from 1 species